CAAAAUAUAAUUUAAAAAAAAUAUUAAUUUUGGAAAUUAAAUUUAUAUUUAAAAAUAUUAUUUUGA
rnacentral:tRNA from 1 species